rnacentral:rRNA from 1 species
CCGUUGCCGGCGACCGGCGCACGGGUGAGUAACACGUAUGCAACCUGCCCGUGGCAGGGGGAGUAAGCGGGGGAAACCCCGUCUAAUACCGCGUAACGCGGCCUAGGGACAUCCCAAGGCCGCCAAAGGGAGCAAUCCCGGCCACGGAUGGGCAUGCGGCGCAUUAGCUAGUCGGCGGGGUAACGGCCCACCGAGGCGACGAUGCGUAGGGGUUCUGAGAGGAAGGCCCCCCACACUGGUACUGAGACACGGACCAGACUCCUACGGGAGGCAGCAG